ensembl:lincRNA
AUGAAUAUCAAGAGUGGCUUUUCAUGGGAGGCAGGGACCAUGUGUAGUCCCUCAGCUUGGAGAGAAUCAGUGACAGCAGUUUUCAUCAGUUCACAUUGUUUUGGUCUUCUAAUUGAAGAACUUCAGUUUCUCAGGUCCCCCAUCGAUAGUCUGCCAUGCUGUGGAGGCAUAUCCUUUCCUAGCUUAACUACGGUGGAAGGAGAAGGGGAAGCAGGUGCCCGCCACCACUCCCAGCUAAAGAGGCCCCAGGCUGGACCUUCCUCAGUCAGUUCCCCUCCUGGCAUCCCAACAGCUGCAGCGUCAGUUAGAGCGAGCCUCCAGCUACGUUCCCAGCGCAGGGCAGCAGACGGUGUUUCGUGGGCUCCGAUUGGCUCAGUGGCCUAUCUUCGGAGCGAAUCAGCGAGCGGAGAGGGAUUAACUACCCUGAUUGGCCAGAUCCAGUCACAUGCCGAUAUGUGACGCGUGAAGUCUAUGCCAGCCACAGUGGAGGGGCGGGGGGUGUGUCCGGAGUUAGAUCCCAGCGCAGAAGAGACGUGAGCCCAGCCAACGUUCCGCAGAAGAGGAUUCAAAUUUUGUUAUGCAGAUAAUCACUGGGGUCAUGGGCCUUGCUCCUUGCAAAGCGAUGUGUCCCUGUAAAGUUGUCAGGCAAAGGAAAUGUCUCAAACGACUGAAUUUCACCAAAUAUCACCUAAUUUAUAAUUCGUUGGUUGAGAUGCUUGUAUUCUUCGUUUCUACUUUUUACUUUUUUUUUUUUUUACACCAUCAAAGACUUGAAGUAUUCUUCGUUUCUAAAUAAGAGGUUGAACUAUAAAGGCUCUAGCUAGCUGUGCAACCUCUGAUGAAUGAUUUCAUGCCUCACUAUUGUGAAAAAUCCAAAGCGGAAUUGGAGAGACGAUGUGGUAUAGGGAUUAGAUAAGCGACGACUGGUGCAAAGCCUACUGGGUCGAAAUUCUGGCCAUUUCUUUGUCAUUGGAAAAGUUAUUUAACGUCGGCGUCUCAGUUCCCACAACUAUUAAAACGGAGAGGAUAAUACCUACUUUAUGCUCUUAAAAGGAUUAAAUAAGUUACCGUUAACAUAUGUAAAGGAUUUAAAAGAGGACCCAUGUAUUUGCUAUUAUGUUAUCCAUACAAUAAAGAGUAAUCAUUACCUAAGUUAUAAAGAACUUAGGCAAUGGAAGCCGGGCGUGGUGGCUCAUGCCUGUAAUCCCAGCACUUUGGGAGUCCGAGGCGGGCGGAUCACCGAAGAGUCCGAGACCAGCCUGACCGAUAUGGUGAAACCCCGUCUCUACAAAUAAUACAAAAAUUAGUCAUUUAUUAUACACCAGGAACUGUGCUAAGAGCGAUGUGUUGUCACUUUAUUUCUUCUUUUUUUUUUUUGAAACGGAAUCUCGCUCUGUCUCCCAGGCUGGAGUGCAGUGGCGCGAUCUCGGCUCACCGCAACCUCCACCUCCUGGGUGCAAGCGAUUCUCCUGCCUCAGCCACCUGAGUAACUGGGAUUACAGGCGCCCCCCACCACAACUGGCUAUUUUUUUUUUUUUUUGUAUUUUUAGUAGAGACCGGGUUUCAUCAUAUUGGUCAGGGUGGUCUCGAACUCCUGACCUCGUGAUCCGUCCGCUUACGGCCUCCCACAGUCCUGGGAUUACAGGCCGUCAACCACUGCGCCCGUUCGUGUUAUCUUAUUUAAUCCUCACAACAAUCUUAUGGAGUGGGUGCUGCUGUCAUCUUUGUUUUUCAGAUGAGAAAACAAGCUCAGAAUGGUGAAAUGACUUGUCCACGGUCACAGGCCAGUGGAGGUUUGAACCCAGGUAUUUGUAAUUCCAAAUAUCAUACUCUGUCCAUACUCAUUCCUUGUAACGUGCCUCGGCUGUCACAGGUGGUCUCGGGGCUAGCAGCUCCCCGUGGGCCGGAACAGGCGUAUCCCUGCCCACCACCCAGCCAAUCGCGCCAGCCCGACUCUACCCUUGUGGCUACGCCCACUGUCCCGCG